GGUAAGGUGGCUUAGUGGUAGAGUGCUUGCCUGGCAUGCACGAAACCUUGGGUUCGAUUCCUCAGUACCA
rnacentral:tRNA from 1 species